rnacentral:rRNA from 1 species
CCUACGGGAGGCAGCAGUGAGGAAUAUUGCGCAAUGGGCGAAAGCCUGACGCAGCGACGCCGCGUGGGGGAUGAAGGUUUUCGGAUUGUAAACCCCUUUUGUGAGGAAAGAUAAAGUGGGUAACCACUUAGACGGUACCUCAAGAAAAAGCCACGGCUAACUUCGUGCCAGCAGCCGCGGUAAU